ACAGUAGAAUCGCCUGAACCUGGGAGGUGGACUUUGCAGUGAGCCGAGAUCACACCAUUGCCCUCCAGCUUGGGCAACAAGA
rnacentral:snRNA from 1 species